UAAAGGAGGGAUUGAUGGUACUUUUCCCCCCGACAUCUGCUGCAUCCUUAGUUUUAAGAAGCAAUCGCGUUUUGCAAUUGUCAUGGUCAGAGACAAUCGAUGUCUGCUUGCUGAGGUAAUUUAGAGAAGCAAUCUACCUCACACUGGUUGGAAUAUCUUUGGGAGCUAACACUGUCGCCGCCCUCAGACUCGCACAGAGGCCAGAGAACAAAGGCAGGCUUAUUGUGACCAUUCAUCUGAGCUUUGGGGAAAGAUAUUUGUCAUCGGUCCUGUUCCAGGAGUUGAGGGAUGAGGCCGAGAAGAUGCAAACAGUGUCGGUUGGCUGAGGCGGGUUCUUCACUAGGAGAAUCUGCACAGCAUUUUCAUUAAGCCAAAGAUGAAGGAAAUGCUUGCGCGAACAUGUCGUUCUUGCAGCAAAACAUGGGUCUCUGGUCACUCUUGCCUCCAUGUACUUGUGAUUCUGUUGUAUUGUAACCAUUUGAACUAAAUGUUGAAUUUUCAUCUCAAA